UAUCAUGCCUAGCCUGUCUGUGGGAG
rnacentral:piRNA from 1 species